rnacentral:lncRNA from 1 species
UAAGUCACUAUUUCAAUGAAAUCAUGGCUUAAAGUCAUGAUUUUGUUACUACUAAGUCAGUAGUCCGCAUUCCCACGCGAUGAUGCAGAGCUGGCGAUGAAAUCAUGGGUUGAACCUAUGAUUUAAUUACUGGCAGCCACACCACUAUAAAUCCACAAAUAAGUUUGUGUUCGAGAUAUUUUGAAAAAUAAUUUUUAAAAAAUAAUAUUUAAAAAAAUCUAACAUAGAAUGCCCCUACUAACUAUUCGGA